CCAAUGAAAUUUUAAUGGCCGCAGUAUUCUAACUGUGCAAAGGUAGCAUAAUCAUUUGUUUUUUAAUUGAAAACUUGAAUGAAAGAGUUGACGUAAAAUAAACUUUUUUUAAAAAAAAUUAAAUUAACAUCAAAAUCAAAAGGUUUUGAUAAAAUAAAGGGACGAUAAGACCCUGUGAAAUUUUACUUUCAAAAAAAAUUAUUAAACAUAAAUUUUUGUAGAAAGUUAAACUGGGGCGGUUUACAAAUUAAUCUUUUUCAAAAAAAAAACACAAAUGUUUAUUUAUAGAACUAAAAUUUUCAAAUUAAAUAAAUUACUCCAGGGAUAACAGCACAAUUUCUUUUUAUAGAUCGUAUAGAUAAAGAAGUUUGUGACCUCGAUGUUGAAUUGAAAACACAUAUUAAAGCAAAAAUUAUUAAUGUUAGUC
rnacentral:rRNA from 1 species